rnacentral:rRNA from 1 species
UACGUAGGGCGCAAGCGUUGUCCGGAAUUAUUGGGCGUAAAGAGCUCGUAGGCGGCUUGUCACGUCGGGUGUGAAAGCUCGGGGCUUAACCCCGGGUCUGCAUUCGAUACGGGCUGGCUGGAGUGUGGUAGGGGAGAUCGGAAUUCCUGGUGUAGCGGUGAAAUGCGCAGAUAUCAGGAGGAACACCGGUGGCGAAGGCGGAUCUCUGGGCCAUUACUGACGCUGAGGAGCGAAAGCAUGGGGAGCGAACAGG